rnacentral:rRNA from 1 species
UCCGUAGGGUGCAAGCGUUGUCCGGAAUUAUUGGGCGUAAAGAGCUCGUAGGCGGUUUGUCGCGUCUGCUGUGAAAACGCGAGGCUCAACCUCGCGCCUGCAGUGGGUACGGGCAGACUAGAGUGCGGUAGGGGAGAUUGGAAUUCCUGGUGUAGCGGUGGAAUGCGCAGAUAUCAGGAGGAACACCGAUGGCGAAGGCAGAUCUCUGGGCCGUAACUGACGCUGAGGAGCGAAAGCGUGGGGAGCGAACAGG